AGAAAAAGAAAAAGCUGUGUCACAUGUGAGAAAUGGCUGCUACAAACAGAAGGUACCAGAAAAACGGAUAUAAUUAGAGACAGAAUGUGAUUUUAUCAUUUUCUCUAGGUGCUGGUACCUGGGAGAACUCAAAGCCAGAGACAUGCCUCUGGUUUGCUAGAAGGACAGACUCCAAGUGGCAGAGAGGCAUCCGGACGCCCAGCCCCGCUCUGACAUUAGCAAAGGGCAAAGCUCUCUCACCAGACCCGCUUAAAGGAGGCCGGUCGCACUGUUCUCCCCAGACUGAUUGCGUGCCUGCUUAGAUCCAGGUGGAUCCUGAAGACUCAGGGAUGAGUAAUAAUGCAACUAGCCACGACUAGGCACAUGGCAGAUACCCACAGAUCACGGCUUCCGUCCCUGUGUGAACCCAGACUGCCUUCUGACCUCACUGGGUAUUCAACUCUGAUUGCUGGGAGUGACGGCCUGAAGGUUUGUGCUGAGGAGGAGUCUGAAGAUCGAUCUGGGAUCAAGAGGACAAGGUCACAAUUAAUGACAUCUGUCAGGACCUCAGGAGAGAACAGACAGAUGUCUGCUAUACGUCCCCUGUGUCUGGAACAGUCCAGAUUGUGAGACCUCGGGUGCAGAGGCCACAUCCAUUGUAUGUGUGUUAUUCUGUAUUCUGUCCACAGUACUGCCUGGGGCCCAGCAUACCAUGGGUGCUCAAUAAAUGCUCACUGAAAGGUUUACUCACUCUU
rnacentral:lncRNA from 12 species